GGUAUUUAAAUCCCCUGCUUAGAUCCAGUUGGUGCAUGCAGCCCUGGUUUGUGCAGUGUUCCACAUGAUUCUCUAUGGAUUUGAUGUGGGAGAACGUUUAACCCAGGGGCUGCCCUAUGUGUAUCCUCUUGGACCUAUAGUGGCUGAAUAUCCUUUUUGAGAUCCUGCAGCUGUUGACCCUGUGUGGGAGAAUGCCUUAUCCAGGUGUAGUCUUGUGCACACCUUUCCAGACCCAUAGCAGUGGUUUGGUUGCAGAGCUGUGAUUAUAUGGACAUUCUCCACACUUGGUAUACAGCAGUUCAGACAUGCAGCCCCAUUGGAAUGUGCUGAUAGAGUGUUUCCAUGGUCGCAUCGGAGGGUUCCCGCGACGUCACUUCCUGGUUACGCUGACGCGAGCGGAAGCUCCGACGAGCGGCCAGCUGGAAACACUGAGAAGAUUGCAUGCACGUGAAGGGGGGUGAGUAAAGGGAAAUGGUAUUUAAGCACUGUUUUAUGCACUGUCACUUUAUCCUGAAGAAGGGGAAUUGGUCCCCGAAACGUUGAUGCCACUU